UACGUAGGGGGCGAGCGUUGUCCGGAUUCAUUGGGCGUAAAGAGCUCGUAGGCAGCUUGGCAAGUCGGGUGUGAAAUCUCCAGGCUCAACCUGGAGUCGCCACUCGAUACUGCCAUGGCUAGAGUCCGGUAGGGGACCAUGGAAUUCCUGGUGUAGCGGUGAAAUGCGCAGAUAUCAGGAGGAACACCAGUGGCGAAGGCGGUGGUCUGGGCCGGAACUGACGCUGAGGAGCGAAAGCGUGGGGAGCGAACAGGAUUAGAAACCCGUGUAGUCC
rnacentral:rRNA from 1 species